UACAGAGGGUGCAAGCGUUGUUCGGAAUUAUUGGGCGUAAAGAGCUCGUAGGCGGCUUGUCGCGUCGACUGUGAAAUCCCGCGGCUCAACCGCGGGUCUGCAGUCGAUACGGGCAGGCUAGAGUUCGGUAGGGGAGACUGGAAUUCCUGGUGUAGCGGUGAAAUGCGCAGAUAUCAGGAGGAACACCGAUGGCGAAGGCAGGUCUCUGGGCCGAUACUGACGCUGAGGAGCGAAAGCGUGGGGAGCGAACAGG
rnacentral:rRNA from 1 species